rnacentral:misc_RNA from 1 species
CAUCCUUGGUUGAUUUUGCCCUCUCAUCUUCACCACUCUCUCCUUGUUUAAUUGCAACACCAUCUGGCUUUGUUGCUUCCAUGACAAUUUGUUGGUCCUCAGCAACUGCACCAUCCUCUGUAGCCUCAGCACUAAUUGCAAUGCCACCAGCAUUCCCAUUAACAGAUUCACCAUUCAAAUUAUUUCCCUCUGCAACCACCACAUCAGAAAGAUUAUCUCCUUGCAUAAUCAAGUUCUGCGCAGUAUGCAACCCCUCCACCACAGAAGGUACAUCAGUAGAUAUGCUAACAUCUGUAUCCAUAGGUGCAUGCUCAUUCUCUGAAUCGGCAUUUAUACCAUGUUUCAGACUGGCAUGAAAGUCAUCUUGAACAGCAUUUGUUUGCUGCUCUGGUAUUUCAUUAGAUGAAUUGACUAGCAUAGAACUUCCAAGGUUAUCUGAAAACAUAGGUUCAGAAGUUUCUGAGUUUUGUAUGGCAGCUUGUUUUGCUGCACUCUCAGCCAACUCAAGUGCACGAUUCUUU